GCUGGCCACCUUCAAGCUCCGAAGAAGAUGCAACAGGAUGCCCCUACGUCAGACAGUGACACAGACGACAGCAUAAUAGCUAUGCCAUCAUCGCAGCUUGAGCUGAAAAAGAAGGAUGUGAGCCACUCGCGCCAGCUAUAUCAGGAAAAGUGCCGAGAGAAUGAAAAGCUCUACAACAUAAUUGAAUCGCUGCAAAGCGCCGUUGAUGGUAAACUUUGUGCAAGUCUUCCAAGCCCUUGCCUUGCUGCAUGUGUGAACAUAAUAGUUACCCAAAGUUUUCUCUUUGUAGUCAACUUUCAUUAGAGCACUUUAAGUUAAAGGGAUACU